rnacentral:rRNA from 1 species
GUUUGAUCCUGGCUCAGAACGAACGCUGGCGGCGUGCCUAACACAUGCAAGUCGAACGUGAAAGGGCUUCGGCCUGAGUAAAGUGGCGCACGGGUGAGUAACGCGUGGGUAAUCUGCCUCCGGGCGGGGAUAACGGGUCGAAAGACCCGCUAAUACCGCAUAAGACCACGGCCUCGAGGGGUUGUGGGAAAAGGUGGGGAUCUUCGGACCUAUCACCUGGAGAUGAGCCCGCGUGCCAUUAGGUAGUUGGCGGGGUAAUGGCCCACCAAGCCGAAGAUGGCUAGCUGGUCUGAGAGGAUGAUCAGCCACACUGGAACUGAGACACGGUCCAGACUCCUACGGAGGCAGCAGUGGGGAAUAUUGCGCAAUGGGGGAAACCCUGACGCAGCAACGCCGCGUGUGUGAUGAAGGCCUCGGUCGUAAGACACUGUGAGGUGGAACGAGCCGCCGGGGCGUAUACCUUCGCCGACGGUACCGACCACGA